rnacentral:lncRNA from 1 species
UGUGGAAGAAAUCCCCGCGCCUACGCCCGUCUGUACGUGUUUCGGUGUCUGGUGUCGCGAUUGAUCUACGGAAGAAGAGGACGUACGCCUCCAUCAGUUUUUAAAGAAAGCUGCGUAUAUGCUCCACGAUGAAUCGAUCGAGGAGUCCGAGUCUGUAAUGUAUUUGAAUUUGACCCAAUGAUUCCUACUAGUGUGUAUGUUCCGUUUAUCAGUUUUCUUUCUCUUAACUUUUUUUUUUGAAAGGAACGUUCCGUUUAGUUGAUGACGACGAUCGAGUACGGAGUGUCCGGAAGAUGUUGGGUCUGUUUGGUUUUAGGCCAGCUUUACCUCACCAAAAUUUGUCGGACAACGUGAACGGUGAACGGAGUCUCUUCUGGUUUCUUGCGGUGAAACCAACCAUCCAGGUUCAAGUCCUAGGCUUAACGUGAGUGUCACAUUUUUCUGAAUUAUUCCAAGAUUUAACCAGUGCUAUUUUGUCAGUGGUAGGUGACGUACCCGUCAACAACGAGACGCUCUGCGGUGACUUCAUCAAUCUCUAAGAUCUGCCGGCUCGAUCUUUCGAAGGUGCUCAUAGGGGUGAGUGUACGUGAUUGUUUUGAGCGUCUGCAUUUGCCAAUAUUUUGGAUUGCACUUUUGUUUGCCCAAGAUUUGGUCAAAGUUGGCAACAAAAAUGAAUUAUAAUUGGUCAGGGAUGGUUGGCUUGCCAAAAUUUUGACAACAUUCCAAACAAGAACCAAAUAUUUG